GAAAGAAUAGGUUAACAUAAACCAAUUGGCUCAUACCCAAUAAAUACUUUUUUAGUUUCUUUCA
rnacentral:tRNA from 1 species